GCUGCCAAGGGGGCGGCGGGAGCAGAAGCCGCCGCAGCCGUCCCGGAUUGGUCUGGGUGGGACGUACUAAACCCCCAAUUUCCCCCUCCUGCUUUGCCACCUUUGAGCCGGAGGACGGCGACAGCGGGGAGGGCGCCCCCAGGAGGGGAAAAAUGAAAUGCCCAAACCCACCGGGAAGGGAGGCGCCUCCUGCCUCGCUGCAAGUGACUGUCACAAACGGAGGGCGGGAAGCGCGUAGCUCAUGUCGCGCCGCCGAGUUUCUGGGGCUCUGAAGUGGAUUCCCUGGGCUGGAGUUCUGGGCGCAGCGAAACGUGGGGCGACCGAGAAGGAAAGGGACGGGCCAGCAGGGUGUGUGUAGCUAGUUAAGUUCGAUCACGAUACCUUUGAAGCUUUCACACACACACCCGCACACGCACUGUAUGGGGUAGCACAUUCCUCUGGAAGCUGUGGCUCUUCCUGCCAAAUAAUAUGCUGGCGGGGUGGGGUUGCGGUGGUGCCGAAAGGCAGGAGAAGGCAUGGGAAUGCAGGAGCCUCCCUAGGGAUUUCCUGGGGCUGCCUUUUUGCUGGAGCUGCGUCCGGAUAUGUAGACGGGGAGCGGACCUGUUCCUAGCACCCAGCUGCCCCCCCCUUUGCUGUUGGGCUAUGUAGCGCAGUUACUGAGGGCCAGUGAAAAGAAGUAGACAGGACAGUUGCAUGAAGAACAGAACCAAGACAUUACUUCUCACUCCUCACAACUUGGCUUUUUGAAGUAGCAACUCCUUUCACUCUGAUUGGCUUCAAUCAGCAGAAAAGAAGGAAGCAAGUCAGAAACCUCUUCUCACACUUCCCUUUCAUGCUGAUUGGCUCACAGGACACUGGAGACAUAACAACCCUGCUGUGACCUGGCUCCCAAAAAAGUAACGGGUCUAAGAUCCCUGAGACUCUGGAUGACCACACUGGUUAAUAUAAUUAAGCCAUGGUUUAGAGGUUUUAUUACAAACAAGUAAUAUAUACAGUUUGUUAAAUAAAUAAAAUAAAAGAUAAAUACAAUAAACCCAUAAGCAUUACAUGGGAAGGAUAUUCUGAUCUCAUCCACCCUGGUGCAAAAAGUUGGUGCAAAAGUUGAGCCUUAACCUGAUGUUGAAAUUUAUACAAUGACAAGGCCAUACACACUUAUGCUAGAAGUCAUAUCAAGAACACUUUCACACCAGUCUCAAAUCAUGACACCUUUAUUGAUAAAAAUAUAAAAGGACACAAAUAGGUGAGCAGGUCUAUAUUGUUUAGGUUUGUCUACAAGUGGAAAGAAAACCUUUUUGGAAAAAAAUGUUCUAGGACAAAUUUAAUUAACAUGUUUAGAAAUGAUUUUGUAUUCUUAUGUAUGUUUUUAAAAUACAAAGUGAAAUUACAA